CCUACGGGAGGCAGCAGUGGGGAAUAUUGCACAAUGGGCGAAAGCCUGAUGCAGCGACGCCGCGUGGGGGAUGAAGGCCUUCGGGUUGUAAACCCCUUUCAGUAAGGAACAAGGCCAUGCUUUUGUGUGGUUGAGGGUACUUGCAGAAGAAGCGCCGGCUAACUACGUGCCAGCAGCCGCGGUAAU
rnacentral:rRNA from 1 species